UACGGAGGGAGCUAGCGUUGUUCGGAAUUACUGGGCGUAAAGCGCGCGUAGGCGGCUUUGUAAGUUAGAGGUGAAAGCCCGGGGCUCAACUCCGGAACUGCCUUUAAGACUGCAUCGCUUGAAUCCGGGAGAGGUGAGUGAAAUUCCGAGUGUAGAGGUGAAAUUCGUAGAUAUUCGGAAGAACACCAGUGGCGAAGGCGGCUCACUGGACCGGUAUUGACGCUGAGGUGCGAAAGCGUGGGGAGCAAACAGG
rnacentral:rRNA from 1 species